GUUAAUGUAGCUUAAACUAAAGGCAAGGCACUGAAAAUGCCAAGAUGAGUGUACGCACUCCAUGAACA
rnacentral:tRNA from 13 species